AGUGAACGCUGGCGGUAGGCCUAACACAUGCAAGUCGAACGGCAGCACAGUAAGAGCUUGCUCUUACGGGUGGCGAGUGGCGGACGGGUGAGGAAUACAUCGGAAUCUACUUUUUCGUGGGGGAUAACGUAGGGAAACUUACGCUAAUACCGCAUACGACCUACGGGUGAAAGCAGGGGAUCUUCGGACCUUGCGCGAUUGAAUGAGCCGAUGUCGGAUUAGCUAGUUGGCGGGGUAAAGGCCCACCAAGGCGACGAUCCGUAGCUGGUCUGAGAGGAUGAUCAGCCACACUGGAACUGAGACGCGGUCCAGACUCCUACGGGAGGCAGCAGUGGGGAAUAUUGGACAAUGGGCGCAAGCCUGAUCCAGCCAUACCGCGUGGGUGAAGAAGGCCUUCGGGUUAUAAAGCCCUUUUGUUGGGAAAGAAAAGCAGCAGGUUAAUACCCCGCUGUUCUGACGGUACCCAAAGAAUAAGCACCGGCUAACUUCGUG
rnacentral:rRNA from 1 species